GAUGCAAUGACGAGCUUUAAAAGUUGAAAAGAGGCAGUGGACGGGACCUAAGCUGAAAUCUCGCCGUGAGCCUUUUUCACCAAUAAAUGACUUCUCCUUCCACUGAGCUCA
rnacentral:snoRNA from 1 species